AACGAACGCUGGCGGCAUGCCUAACACAUGCAAGUCGAACGAGACCUUCGGGUCUAGUGGCGCACGGGUGCGUAACGCGUGGGAAUCUGCCCUUGGGUUCGGAAUAACAGUUAGAAAUGACUGCUAAUACCGGAUGAUGACGUAAGUCCAAAGAUUUAUCGCCCAAGGAUGAGCCCGCGUAGGAUUAGCUUGUUGGUGAGGUAAAAGCUCACCAAGGCGACGAUCCUUAGCUGGUUUGAGAGGAUGAUCAGCCACACUGGGACUGAGACACGGCCCAGACUCCUACGGGAGGCAUCAGUGGGGAAUAUUGGACAAUGGGCGAAAGCCUGAUCCAGCAAUGCCGCGUGAGUGAUGAAGGUCUUAGGGUUGUAAAGCUCUUUUACCCGGGAUGAUAAUGACAGUACCGGGAGAAUAAGCCCCGGCUAACUCCGUGCCAGCCGCCGCGGUAACAC
rnacentral:rRNA from 1 species